ACCCAGGGAUUGAACCCCGGUCUUCCGCAUUGCAGGCAGACACUACCAUCUGAGCUACCAGGGAAGCCCAUAGUCCAAGAGGGGUAGGCAAGAUCGCCAAACAAGAAUGAGAAAUGGGGAAACUAUGGCCCUGAGAACACAGAUGGACAGACGCCCAGUGGACCCGCAUUUCCGCACCAAACCUCAACCUGAUGAAACUACCAUCCUAUUAUAUGGAGGAGGAUCCGACGUGGACAGCACAGGGAGUCAGUGAUAACAAGGGCUCGAGCCCAGCGACUCAGGCUACUUUCAGCAAGUCAUCAAACUCACCGGAGCCUCAGUCUCCCCAUCUGUCCAAUGGGAACA